GGAUUCAUAGCAUAGUGGUUUAAGCAUUGGACUACAACUCUGGAGAUCAGGAUUCGAUUCAGCCAUGAAACCC